rnacentral:lncRNA from 1 species
CCGGCCUUGGCUUUCCCCAAUGACAGACAAUGACCUGCAAGCCAAGUAAAACCAUUUCCUCCCUGAAUCGUUUUAAGUCAAUGUGUUUUAUCACAUGGGGGAAAAAAAAACUAAUACAACUGGGAUAUGAGAUGAAUAGCUGUUGGUUCUUCUGUUUCAUUUCUGUAUUUAAAGCUAGCUGAGACGGGUUGAGGAGGGAGAGAGAGUAUAAUAACUUCAUUUUCAUAGCUAUCGAUAAGGACUCAUGGGGAUGUUGUUUGUCAAACUCAGACUCUGUAAACACUGUCACUGUGGAUGACCUACGUUUCAGCUGUGGUGAGUGAUGGAGGAAGAUUCUGAAUGAGACCAUGUCCUGACACAGCCCAUCAUUGUGAUUAUCUGCCUUCCUUCAAAAGUUUAUACAUAUUUAAAGCAUGCACAAAAUAUUUUCCAUCUAUAUGUAAAAUAGAGUUAUGGUUUGAAUAUGAAAUGUUCGCCCAGGUUCAUAUGCUGACUGUUUGUCACCUCACCACAGCUGGUUGUGCUGUGUGGGAAGAUUCUGGAAACUUUAAGAGCUGGGACCAAACCAGAAGAAGUGGGUCGUCACUGAGAGCGUGCCUCAUAAAGUUCUGCCUGGUGUCUUGUUCUUUCCACGCUCUGCUUCCCGUCCUCCAGGAGAGCAGACUCCUCCCCUGUAUCCUUUCACUACCAUGAUGCUCUGCCUGAACACGUGGAGUUGAGGCACAGCAAGCUAAGACCUCUGAAAUCGUGAGCCAAAGCUUCUUGGUUAUUUGACCAAAGGGAUAUCAAGUAAACUGGUGCCAGAAAAACAGGAUUGUUACUCUGGUUAAAUAUGAUUAUGUGGUUCUUUAGCCUCUAGAACUAGUUUGUGGGAGGGUUUCAGGUGAGUUGGGAGAUAAAGGUUAGUGAAGCUCUAAAAAGGCUAUGAUCAGAGCUUAAUGGGAAGUUCUCGUCAGUGCUGAAGACCAGAAAGGUCUCCGAAUGCAGACAGCGAAGGCUAGUAUCACAAAGUUUCAAGUGGAAACAAGGUUUUUAUCCAAAAUUGGACUAGAGACCACUGUAUUUGUUGUAUGCAAGAAAGUCAUUUGUCGCAUGUUUCCACACCCAGAGAUGAAGACUUUAAGUUGACUUGCUUUUAAAAGAGAUGAAGUGUGGGGCUGAAGGGCUGGCUCAGCAGUUAAUUGCAUAUUCUGCUCUUCCGGAGGACCUGAGUUCAGUUCCCAGCACCCAUGGCAAGUGGCUCACAAUUGCCUAGAACUCUAGCUCCAGGGGAUCCAAUCCCCCUUCUGGUCUCUAGGUGUCUGAGCAUAUAUUUAAUAGCCACACACAGACACGCAACAAGGACAUAUAAUUAAAAAUAAAAUAAAUCUUAAAGA